rnacentral:rRNA from 1 species
UACGUAGGCAGCGAGCGUUGUUCGGAAUUACUGGGCGUAAAGAGUGUGUAGGCGGUGCUCUAAGUUCGGUGUGAAAUCUCCUGCUUAACUGGGAGGGUGCGCCGGAAACUGGAGUGCUCGAACGUGGGAGAGGAAAGCGGAAUUCCUGGUGUAGCGGUGAAAUGCGUAGAUAUCAGGAGGAACACCGGCGGUGUAGACGGCUUUCUGGACCGUAGCUGACGCUGAGACACGAAAGCGUGGGUAGCAAACAGG